AUGAGCUCGGAUCAAAUACUCCAUGUCUUACAUACGGGUAUGUAUAUGAGUGGGGUUGUACUUUCUAACAAGUUAGGCCCCAUAUGUCAACCUUUUCGGCCUUAUAACAUACUUACUGUACAGCUGCUCCAUUUCGGAUCGGCCCGGCCCAAUAACACACGGAUCAGCGUCAAGUCUCUGACCUUUCUGGGCUUUCAUCCAAGCGCCAGCCGCAUCGCCCCGCAGCCCCCAAACCCCAGGUCCUCCCAGCCGCCUCGACGCCGUCGCCGUCGCCGUCAUGGCAGCCGCUCGUCCCGCUGCGCGCCGACCUCCAGCUGCUCGCGCGUGACCUGCGCCCUGACGCAGGCUGCUACCGCGCGACCCUGUUUCGUCUGA
rnacentral:rRNA from 1 species